rnacentral:rRNA from 1 species
ACACGACUACAUUAGAUACCCGGGUAGUCCCAGCCGUAAACUAUGCGCGUUAGGUGUACUGGUGACCACGAGUCACCGGGGUGCCGAAGGGAAACCGUGAAACGUGCCGCCUGGGAAGUACGGUCGCAAGGCUGAAACUUAAAGGAAUUGGCGGGGGAGCACCGCAACGGGAGGAGCGUGCGGUUUAAUUGGAUUCAACACCGUAAAACUCACCAGGGAAGACUGUUACAUGAAGGCCGAGAUGAAGACUCUGCUAGAUUUUCAG